rnacentral:rRNA from 1 species
AUUGAACGCUGGCGGCAGGCCUAACACAUGCAAGUCGAACGAGUGGCGGACGGGUGAGUAAUGUCUGGGAAACUGCCUGAUGGAGGGGGAUAACUACUGGAAACGGUAGCUAAUACCGCAUACCAUCGGAUGUGCCCAGAUGGGAUUCGCUAGUAGGUGGGGUAACGGCUCACCUAGGCGACGAUCCCUCGCUGGUCUUAAAGGAGGACCAGCCACACUGGAACUGAGACACGGUCCAGACUCUUACGUGAGGCAGCAGGGGGGAAUAUUGCACAAUGGGCGCAAGCCGUAUGCAGCCAUGCCGCGUGUAUGAAGAAGGCCUUCGGGUUGUAAAGUACUUUCAGCGGGGAGGCGUUACUCGCAGAAGAAGCACCGGCGAACUCCGUGCCAGCAGCCGCGGUAAUUC